rnacentral:rRNA from 1 species
AACCAGCAAUUUGGGGGAAUGAAGCAAUGUGCUUCUUUUUGUUAGUUCUAUUUUUGUGUGAAAGCUGAAAUAGAAAACAUAUAACUUCCUUGUCUGUGUAAGAGCAGAGGUGGUUGUUAUAUUUCAAAAAAUGUCAGGUAGUAAGCUAUUCCAUUUGUGACAAAUUUGGAAAUAAUAGUCUAGUGUUAAUAAUGGGCUUAUUGCUCUAACACUCUCUAGUGAGAAAGAUAAAAAAAACUACUUGAGCCUAGUAUAUAGGUCAUAUUGUUACGACUACGUCGUCUAAAGUUCUAGAUAGAUAACUGAUAAUGACAACUUUCUAUCUAUAUGUCUUGACCAAAUUACGUGCCAGCAGUCGCGGCAAUACGUAGAAGACUAGUGUUAUUCAUCUUUAUUAGGUUUAAAGGGUACCUAGACGGUAAAACUAGCCCCAAUAGGGAACAGUUUUACUAGAGUUUAAUGUAAGAGGUAAAUGUUAGGACUAUUGGUGUAGAGAUGAAAUUCUUUGAUACUAAUGGGAUGGGUGGCGGCGAAAGCAAACCUCUAUGUAUAAACUGACGUUGAGGGACGAAGGCUCGGGGAGCGAAUAGGAUUAGAUACCCUAGUAGUCCGGGCAGACAAUUAUGAAUGUCAUAUGCUAGGUUUUUACACUUGGUGUAUAAAUGAAAGUGCAAGCAUUCCACCUCAAGAGUAAUGUGGCAACGCAGGAACUGAAAUCAUUAGACCGUGUCUGAAACCAGUAGUGAAGUAUGUUAUUUAAUUCGAUGAUCCUCGAAAAACCUUACCACAAUUUGAAUAUUAUUUCUUUAAAUAAUACAAGCGUUGCACGGCUGUCUUCAGUUAAUGUCGUGAGAUUUUGGUUAGAUUCAUUAAUUAACGUAAACCCAUACUUUAUUUGUUAUCUAUAAAGUAGUUCACCGCUAUAUUGGAUUUUGAUAAUAGGACCAAGACAAGUCAUCAG